AUUGAACGCUGGCGGCAUGCUUUACACAUGCAAGUCGAACGGUAACAGGCCGCAAGGUGCUGACGAGUGGCGAACGGGUGAGUAAUGCAUCGGAACGUGCCCAGUCGUGGGGGAUAACGCAGCGAAAGCUGUGCUAAUACCGCAUACGAACUAUGGAUGAGAGCGGGGGACCGUAAGGCCUCGCGCGAUUGGAGCGGCCGAUGUCAGAUUAGGUAGUUGGUGGGGUAAAGGCUCACCAAGCCAACGAUCUGUAGCUGGUCUGAGAGGACGACCAGCCACACUGGGACUGAGACACGGCCCAGACUCCUACGGGAGGCAGCAGUGGGGAAUUUUGGACAAUGGGCGCAAGCCUGAUCCAGCAAUGCCGCGUGCAGGAAGAAGGCCUUCGGGUUGUAAACUGCUUUUGUACGGAACGAAAAGGUUUGGGUUAAUACCCUGGGCCGAUGACGGUACCGUAAGAAUAAGCACCGGCUAACUACGUGCCAGCCGCCGCCGUAA
rnacentral:rRNA from 1 species